rnacentral:rRNA from 1 species
GUCCUUGCCGUAAACGAUGUGGAUUAGGUGUUGGGGGUGUCGAUCCCUCCAGCGCCGACGCUAACGCAUUAAAUCCACCACCUGGGGAGUACGGUCGCAAGACUGAAACUCAAAGAAAUUGACGGGGACCCGCACAAGCGGUGGAGCAUGUGGUUUAAUUCGAGGCUACGCGAAGAACCUUACCCAGGCUUGACAUGUAGUUGAAUAACUGUGAAAAGCUGUUAGGCCCGCAAGGGACAAUUACACAGGUGCUGCAUGGCUGUCGU